AGUGAACGCUGGCGGUAGGCCUAACACAUGCAAGUCGAACGGCAGCACAGUAAGUGCUUGUUGUUACGGGUGGCGAGUGGCGGGUGGGUGAGGAAUACAUCGGAAUCUACUUUUUCGUGGGGGAUAACGUAGGGACACUUACGCUAAUACCGCAUACGACCUACGGGUGAAAGCAGGGGACCUUCGGACCUUGGGCGAGUGUAUGAGCCGAUGUCGGAUUAGCUAGUUGGCGGGGUAAAGGCCCACCAAGGCGACGAUCCGUAGCUGGUCUGAGAGGAUGAUCAGCCACACUGGAACUGAGACACGGUCCAGACUCCUACGGGAGGCAGCAGUGGGGAAUAUUGGACAAUGGGCGCAAGCCUGAUCCAGCCAUGCCGCGUGGGUGAAGAAGGUCUUCGGGUUGUAAAGCCCUUUUGUUGGGAAAGAAAAGCAGCAGGUUAAUACCCCGCUGUUCUGACGGUACCCAAAGAAUAAGCACCGGCUAACUUCGUG
rnacentral:rRNA from 1 species